rnacentral:rRNA from 1 species
CUACGGGUUGCAGCAGUGGGGAAUCUUGGACAAUGGGCGCAAGCCUGAUCCAGCCAUGCCGCGUGAGUGAAGAAGGUCUUCGGAUUGUAAAGCUCUUUUGCCAGGGACGAUAAUGACGGUACCUGGAGAAUAAGCCCCGGCAAACUUCGUGCCAGCAGCCGCGGUAAUACGAAGGGGGCUAGCGUUGUUCGGAAUUACUGGGCGUAAAGCGCACGUAGGCGGGUCGUUAAGUCAGGGGUGAAAUCCCGGAGCUCAACUCCGGAACUGCCUUUGAUACUGGCGAUCUAGAGAUCGGAAGAGGUGAGUGGAAUUCCCAGUGUAGAGGUGAAAUUCGUAGAUAUUGGGAAGAACACCAGUGGCGAAGGCGGCUCACUGGUCCGAUACUGACGCUGAGGUGCGAAAGCGUGGGGAGCAAACAGGAUUAGAUACCCGCGUAGUC